GCAAACCAACAACGUUGUCAGAGUAAAGUUCAAAGACAGCAAGAAAUAUAUUUUCUCUUCACAACCAUUUCACACAUUUUUUGAAUGUGUUGCCAAGAAGUUUAAUCUUUCUACAAUGAAUGUCUUUGCUGACUUAAAGACAGAGGUUGAUGAGGAAUAAUAUCUGCUGACAUGACCAGACUUUGGUGUCCUAGAAAUCUUCAUCCCAGAAAGCACAACAAGCCUUGAUGAUUAUUUAUCUAAUACUGAGGGCACGUCAGAGUCUGAUGGGACCGCAGUGUUGAUUAGAAAUCCUCCUGAAAAAAAUCAAGCCGAGGAACGUCAUCUAGUCCAGAUGAUCGAAAAUAUCCUAAAGGGCAGCCCUGGAGGCGGGAAGGUCAUAAAGGAAUACCCUCACACAAAGUCUUUCAGAUGGCCGCGGACGUGACAUGGUGAAAAUCUUGGUAGCACAUUUAACAAAGGAAUAUGGAUCUUGCCCUUACCGAAGUUUGAAGGAAGAAUGUGCAAAGGGUUUUAUCUCCAUAUUCCCAUGCUUUACUGACCCCAGGAGCAAGCUUAGUUAUGCAAGUACC